UGCGAUUGAGCCCCCCGGCAGCCACCGCUACCGUGACAUGGUCGAUGAUGCCUCGCGGCGCUUCUAUAGCCGCCAUACCCACCGUCGCACUCCACCACCACCGUGGCCCCUCUCUCUCUCUCUCUCUCUCUCUCUCUCUCUCUCUCUCUCUCUCUCUCUCGCCCUCUCUCUCUCUCUCUCUCUCUCUCUCUCUCUCUCUCUCUCUCUCUCUCUCGCCCUCCAGCCCCGAUGCGAACAAGGCCAGGUUGUGGUGGAGUUAUCUGCUGCUGCUGCAGUUGGGUUUAGGAGUUAGCUGCUUUCGUGCACUGGUGGCUGCACCAGAUUCAGUAGCGUCUGCAACUGUCCUUGAUAAAAGCUCGCUCAGCUGUUUCUUGGGAGAGCAACUUCCCUCCCCUUUGACAUUUCCUUUGAAGAUCGAAGCCCUUUGACUCGGGGUUUUUUUUCGCGGAUGGGGAUCCUUCCUUCGGUGGUAGUAGGCUGGGCAGAACUGGCGGUGGCUCCAAAAAUUUCCAUAACUGAAGUGGCCAAAAUUUAAUUUCUCCUCUUUUAGGAAAAAAAAAAUGUGAUCUUUUGGCACCUCCUUGAUCAAUAUUAGGAGCGGGUAUCUUUAUCUUUAUCUUUGAAUUUGAAGGUAUUUUCGUAAGAGGCAAAUUAAAAAGGUGAUCACCCAGCUGAUCAGUGGAUAAUUUUUGCAUAUGUUGGAGGAAUCCUGGGCUUUCUGUCCGGAUUUUUAGGAAUACUCGCAAGAUAACCUUGAAGUAAAGAGGUAGAGGCUAUGGAUACAGUAGAUUGAUUGUGCCGAGAGGACGACGAGUGAUCUGUCGAUUGGCCCCUGAAUGGGGGUAAUUAACAUUGAACUAUAUGAGUCCCAAGGAAGGCAAAGGAGGUGAUGAAGAUCCUUAAGAAGCUGCCUGGGGAAUAAAGAUCCAAAAAUACAGCUUCUGACCCUCUAUGUCAGUAUCAUGCUCUGCUUUCUUAUAUGUGCAUAGUUCUGGAUCCAGUUGCUCUCUUCUUUUCUUUCUUCUAAAUGGCUACAAGAGUCGGCUAUCACUUGGCCAAAAUAUUUGGUUAUCAAUUUCAAGUAGGUGUUGGAGACUCUUAGCAAAAACUGUGGCAAUAGUGUAUUUCAGAAUAUUAUUGAGUCUGAUAUCCUACAGGAAAUGGUUAGAAUGGUGUUUAAAAAGGUGCCCACUCUAUAUCCCAUGAUUGACUUUUAUUCUGAAUCUGUUCAUUUAUGAGAUUGUCAUUUGCUGUUUCUACAUGCUCUGUGCAGCCAUAUUCUGAAUCUGCUAAUUUAUUGACC